rnacentral:lncRNA from 1 species
ACUAAAAAGGAUAAUACCAUAAAUAAUUGACAAUAUUCCAUAGGUAGUUAGCGUAAAGUUCAAAGGGGAUUUCAUGUGUAUUUGUAGUAUUUUUAUAAUUUUGAUAAUUCCAAGAAAAUGUGUUGCUCUAACUUUAUACUUAUCUCUUUUACAAAUAUAUUGGGAACGUACUUUGAUUUCUGUCGAGUAAAAACACCUGCAAUUUGUUAUUGAUAUUAUCCAGAAAAAAAGUUCAACAUUUAAUUAUGUCAUAAUUUAGAUUUUCUCAUUGCUUUCCCGCUUUCCAACUCUGCCCAAUAAGAAUGAUUUUUAUUCUCGUUUAGAAACAAUAGAUCCACUCCUUCUAUCUAUCCAACUUUGAUAUUAUUUGUAUUCCUAUUAACAUUCUUUUUGUCGCUGUCUCUUCCACCUCCUGCUGGCGGAGCAGGAGGAGCAGGAGGAGCUGGUUUUGCUGUUGGUGGAGGGGGAGGGGGAGAGGGAGGGGGAGGUAGUGGUUGUUGUUGUGGUGGAUAUUGUGGUAGUUGCGGUGCUGGUAGUUGUUGUUGAGGUGGUUGUUGUUGUUGUUGUUGGUUUUGAAGUGGUUGUUGUUGUUGCCAAAUAGGCCAAUCGGAUCGAGGUGCUUCAUUCUGUGCACUCGCCAGUCCCGCCAGCCCAAUCAGGAGCAGAGCAAAUCUGAAGCACUUCAUUUU